rnacentral:rRNA from 1 species
UACGUAGGGUGCGAGCGUUGUCCGGAAUUAUUGGGCGUAAAGAGCUCGUAGGCGGCUUGUUGCGUCGACUGUGAAAACCCGCGGCUUAACUGCGGGCUUGCAGUUGAUACGGGCAGGCUAGAGUUCGGUAGGGGAGACUGGAAUUCCUGGUGUAGCGGUGAAAUGCGCAGAUAUCAGGAGGAACACCGGUGGCGAAGGCGGUUCUCUGGGCAU